GCACUGCUGAGGAAUCCCACAAUAGGAUGAAACGACCGUCCAGUGC
rnacentral:hammerhead_ribozyme from 1 species